UACAAUAUCUUUUUCUAGAAACUCUUGAGUAAUUCCAAAAGAUUCUGCCAUACUCAAAAUAGAAACGGAUUCGUAUGGCUCAAGAUACUGUAUGUAUGCCUUAGACCUGACUAUUCUCAAAUAAUACUUGUGGUGGCGAUUAAAAUAAUAGUCCUUCUGUAGUAUAUAAGUGAUGUUGACUAACCUUUCGAAGAAUUGGCUAUACCUUCCGUAGUAGAAACUCUCGAUGAAUUCAAGUAAAAACUUGUUAUCUGGUUGUAGCGCAAUUUUUAAUAUAUCAGGACUAGUUAGUAGCUUUGACUUAAUGGUUCUCCUGUCUAUGGAAAUUAUCGACGAAACUAUUGUAUAAAAUAUUAGACGAUCGAAUGAAAUUAGUUCAGCUGCUGUGAAUGUAGUUAGCGAAUCCAGAAAUAGUUCUGAAGCGGCAGAGAAAUUUCUAGUUAUAAGAUAAUAUAUUGCCUUAUAGACUUUAAAUCUAUUUUUCCUUUCCCAGUCACUAGUAGUUUUGAAAAGGUCCUCUGCUCUCUUAAUGUACUUGCUAAUUAGAUUCAGAUCAUUCCAAAAAAAACCUGUUCUAAUUCCAAGAAAAAGCAGUUCUAACUUGAAUCCGCCUAUUGUUUUCUCAAUAGCGACUUCUAAUUCUUGUAAACUCUUUUCUUUUGAACCAAUUCUAGAAUAAAAUACUAAUUUUUUAUAGUGGCA
rnacentral:antisense_RNA from 1 species